GAUUAACGCUGGCGGCGUGCCUAACACAUGCAAGUCGAGCGGCAGCGAGUUUUACACUGAAUUCUGGAAGCUUCUAGUUGAAAGAGAAGAUUUAUUCAAGAAUUUUGUGUAAAAUGUCGGCGAGCGGCGGACGGCUGAGUAACGCGUAGGAACGUACCCCAAAGUGAGGGAUAACGCAUCGAAAGGUGUGCUAAUACCGCAUAUGGUCUUCGGAUUAAAGCCUUCGGGCGCUUUGGGAACGGCCUGCGUAAGAUUAGAUAGUUGGUGGGGUAAUGGCCUACCAAGUCGACGAUCUUUAACUGGUUUGAGAGGAUGAUCAGUCAGACUGGAACUGAGACACGGUCCAGACUCCUACGGGAGGCAGCAGUGAGGAAUCUUCCACAAUGGGCGAAAGCCUGAUGGAGCGACGCCGCGUGCAGGAUGAAGGCCUUCGGGUUGUAAACUGCUUUUAUAAGUGAGGAUUAUGACAGUAACUUAUGAAUAAGGAUCGGCUAACUACGUG
rnacentral:rRNA from 1 species